AUUGAACGCUGGCGGCAUGCUUUACACAUGUAAGUCGAACGGUAACAGGCCGCAAGGUGCUGACGAGUGGCGAACGGGUGAGUAAUGCAUCGGAACGUGCCCAGUCGUGGGGGAUAACUACUCGAAAGAGUAGCUAAUACCGCAUACGAUCUAUGGAUGAAAGCGGGGGACCGUAAGGCCUCGCGCGAUUGGAGCGGCCGAUGUCAGAUUAGGUAGUUGGUGGGGUAAAGGCUCACCAAGCCAACGAUCUGUAGCUGGUCUGAGAGGACGACCAGCCACACUGGGACUGAGACACGGCCCAGACUCCUACGGGAGGCAGCAGUGGGGAAUUUUGGACAAUGGGCGCAAGCCUGAUCCAGCAAUGCCGCGUGCAGGAAGAAGGCCUUCGGGUUGUAAACUGCUUUUGUACGGAACGAAACGGCUCUGGUUAAUACCCGGGGCUAAUGACGGUACCGUAAGAAUAAGCACCGGCUAACUACGUG
rnacentral:rRNA from 1 species